rnacentral:misc_RNA from 1 species
AUUUGAUAAAAAUAAUGAACAAUAAUCAUCCUUUAAUUAAUUAAAGCUAUAAUAUAAACAAUGAACAUUAGACAAAAGAAAUUUGACGUUCAACAAACGAACGAACGAAGUAGCAAAUUUUGUGUUCGAAAUAAAUUAAUUCUGACUGUGGUGUAAAUACACUACAGUCAGAAUUAUGCUUGUCCAGCUUCUUGACGUCACAAAGUAGCAACAUCUCCUGGUAGAAAACAGAACUACGGUUACGGAAUCGUUCUGUAAUUAGACGCCAGUCUUUUAUUGGCGUUUGGGCUAUUCUUUGUUAAUUGCAUAUUCGUUUCCAUUGUCGAAAACACAAUACAGGUAUUAAAACGCUAUUGUCGAGUAAAACUUAUUGUUUACGUCAUUUAACAAAGAAUUUAACAAGAAGACCGAGAAAUUGUAACUGCGUUGAGAAAAGGAUUUAUUUUUACGGACGUUUCCGACUUAACAGGAAGGAAUUUGUGGAAAAUUGAAAAUUUUACAGUUGGGGGCAGGCUAAGUCAAUAUGGAGACGGAGAGAUUUACCUUGAACCGGUUGAUGGAAGCAGCGCUGAACCCGCCCGAUGAGGGCGCGGUCAAUUUCAAAAUGUUGCGGAUGGUGCUGAAAGUUAUAAUCGAGGAACUGGACCUGGGGGAGGUGGAGGCCGAGGUUCCGGCCGAAGACGUCGGAAGGAAAACCCGGAAGAGAAGGAAGCGGAAAUACCACCGACUGGAGACUUCCAGAAAACCUACAGAAGGGGAGAAGAAGGAGGCGGAAAAUUGCCAACGGGAAGAAGAGAAAAGGGGAGAAAGGUCUGAAGCUGAAACCACCGAGGAAAGCCGCCGUUCUCGGUCUUCUUUCUCGGACCGGGAGGAAGAGGACGAGUGGGAGAGAGAGCUGGAAGAGCACCCGAGCCCGGCCGGGGGAAACGAAGCCAGUCCAUCCCCCGAAGGGUCGGAGAGCUCCAGCACCGGGAAAGAAGAAAGUUCGGACGGGGACGAAGAGUGGGGAACGGACUACUCCUCUGUCAGAAGCCGCCACCGCCGGCAGCGAGAAAAGGAAUCUUCGAUUUCCGCCGGUUCCGAAUCCGGUUGUACGGGAAUCAAACGGAGAGCGAUGGAAAUGUGGAAAACCGCCUACUUUUCUCGGCGCCUAGAGGCCGUCCAGGAAGGUUUGCAUAAGGUGAUAAACGUCCUUGGUGUCCACGCCCGAACCGUCGAUGCUCAAAGAAGAGACUUGGAAAAGGAAAAAAUGGCGCGGGAUGGCGUUACUCGCGGCCUGAGCAAGAUAGUCAGUCGCCUGUCGGAAUCCGCGAACGAAACGGAAGCCAAAUUGAAAUUGGUGGUAACCGGAGAAGAAUUAGUGGAUUUUAAGAAAGAAGUGGACGGGAAGUUGGCCCGGCUGGAUUUAGAAAUUAAAGAACUGCACCGAGUUUCGGCCGGAGUGGAAGAAAGCGUCAAUCGAUUGCUAACAGAGACCGAAACGUUAAAGGAAAAAACCGGCUUCUUAGAAGAUAACACCGGCCUCUACCGCCAUAAAAGUCCAGAGGAGGUGGACUUUCCUGCCUUAAGAGAAAUGUUUCGGAACUUCGUGGACGAAAUGCGACCCAUCAAAGAGAAGUUUCAAAGAGAAUUCGAAACGGAAUCCGAGCAAGACACCAGUAUGUCGGAACAGGUGACCAAUCUGAGAAUAAACGUCAGAAAUCUCAUCGAAAACGACAAAAUCGUAACGGAAAAAUUUCAAAGAUUGGAAGAGGACGGUGCUAAACAAAAGGAAAUCCUCGAUAUAUUGGUCGAAGCUAACGAAAAAGGAUUCGCUCCCCAGGAUAAAGAGGAUUUCUACGACAUGCAGAAAAGACUUAGACAGUUAGAGAUCGACUGUCGACAGCUCGGCGCAUUAAACGACUUGGACCUGGCCAUCGCCACCUUAAAAGCCAUUAAAGUGAAUAAAUCCGAAGUGGAAGCCGCACUAUCGCGAAAAGCGGAGAAUAAAGUGGUAGAAGUUAAGGUGGACAGGACGGAAUACGAGAAAGUGACGGGAGAACAUUGCUUUAAAUUGAAACAGCUGGAGAAGGACGUCGACUACAUUAGAGAAAAUCUGGAUGUGGAGGUGAGAAGGAUAUCGGACGAACUCGAUAAUAAAGUUCAUCGAAUCGAUAUCGAAACUUUAACAGAAAGCGUUCACAGAAGAUUGAAGGAUCUUACUUUCAAACUCAAACGACUUGGAUACGCCGUGCAAAUUGAAACACAGAUGCCCGCUGCAACCCGCACCGAAGCUAAAUGCCUGUCUUGUGGAGUGUGGACUAGAAGACUGCAAAAUUCAGUGGUGAAGAGUCUACCGCCAACCGUCUUUAGUAAAUGCGGACAAAUAGUCGACCCGAAACAAAUCGUUUCAAAGAACAUCGACGGAAUUCUACCACCUUCGGCCUGCCGUCACGUAGGAAGACUCGUGGGAGGUCCUCUUGGCAGUAACGAAAAUAAUGGAAAAUCGCCCGUCCGCGGGUGAGAACUAAUUAUUGCUAUAGGUUUAUUUUUGGCACUUUUCGCCUUACGGGCGCUGAGGGACCGCUUUUCCUGACCGGACGAGACGAACCGCCAAAUCUUUCCGGUUCCAAUCGGAUCCCGAGUUUCUCGGCGCGGCGGGCCGAGUCGUAAUCGUCGGAAUGCUAUAGUUUGGGUCCGGGCACUUAAACAGCGAGCCAGAGGCUCCGGAGGGAAUGCGGCGGGUGGAGAAAAUCCCGGAAAUUUUUGGGGACUGUCCGGAGCGAAUAAGUCGGGUACCCGCCACGGGUUCGGUAAAAAGGGCCGCGGAUGGUCGAAUGGCGGAAAGUCCAUAGAAAUAUCGAAGGUCGAAAACAUGAAUAGGUUUUACUAUAGAAAUGUCGGUCUCGUACUUUCAUUUAUAAAUAGCCUAUUUAAAAAGUAGCCAAUGCCCGAAAUAAAAUUAAAUUCAACGUUUAUAAA